rnacentral:rRNA from 1 species
CAAGACAACUUUACGGAGUUGACGAUUGACGGAGCGAAGCGACGUCAAAGCGUUCAUUAAAGUCGAGUUGGCUUAGGGAUACGUUCGUUGGGUAGGGGAGCGUUCUGUAAGCCUGUGAAGGUGUGUCGUGAGGCAUGCUGGAGGUAUCAGAAGUGCGAAUGCUGACAUAAGUAACGAUAAAGCGGGUGAAAAGCCCGCUCGCCGGAAGACCAAGGGUUCCUGUCCAACGUUAAUCGGGGCAGGGUGAGUCGACCCCUAAGGCGAGGCCGAAAGGCGUAGUCGAUGGGAAACGGGUUAAUAUUCCCGUACUUGGUGUUACUGCGAAGGGGGGACGGAGAAGGCUAUGUUGGCCGGGCGACGGUUGUCCCGGUUUAAGCGUGUAGGUGUGUGUUCCAGGUAAAUCCGGUUCACUUUAACACUGAGGCGUGACGACGAGGCACUACGGUGCUGAAGCAACAAAUGCCCUGCUUCCAGGAAAAGCCUCUAAGCAUCAGGUAACAUCAAAUCGUACCCCAAACCGACACAGGUGGUCAGGUAGAGAAUACCAAGGCGCUUGAGAGAACUCGGGUGAAGGAACUAGGCAAAAUGGUGCCGUAACUUCGGGAGAAGGCACGCUGACACGUAGGUGAAGUGAUUUACUCACGGAGCUGAAGUCAGUCGAAGAUACCAGCUGGCUGCAACUGUUUAUUAAAAACACAGCACUGUGCAAACACGAAAGUGGACGUAUACGGUGUGACGCCUGCCCGGUGCCGGAAGGUUAAUUGAUGGGGUCAGCGCAAGCGAAGCUCCUGAUCGAAGCCCCGGUAAACGGCGGCCGUAACUAUAACGGUCCUAAGGUAGCGAAAUUCCUUGUCGGGUAAGUUCCGACCUGCACGAAUGGCGUAAUGAUGGCCAGGCUGUCUCCACCCGAGACUCAGUGAAAUUGAACUCGCUGUGAAGAUGCAGUGUACCCGCGGCAAGACGGAAAGACCCCGUGAACCUUUACUAUAGCUUGACACUGAACAUUGAGCCUUGAUGUGUAGGAUAGGUGGGAGGCUUUGAAGUGUGGACGCCAGUCUGCAUGGAGCCGACCUUGAAAUACCACCCUUUAAUGUUUGAUGUUCUAACGUGGACCCGUAAUCCGGGUUGCGGACAGUGUCUGGUGGGUAGUUUGACUGGGGCGGUCUCCUCCUAAAGAGUAACGGAGGAGCACGAAGGUUGGCUAAUCCUGGUCGGACAUCAGGAGGUUAGUGCAAUGGCAUAAGCCAGCUUGACUGCGAGCGUGACGGCGCGAGCAGGUGCGAAAGCAGGUCAUAGUGAUCCGGUGGUUCUGAAUGGAAGGGCCAUCGCUCAACGGAUAAAAGGUACUCCGGGGAUAACAGGCUGAUACCGCCCAAGAGUUCAUAUCGACGGCGGUGUUUGGCACCUCGAUGUCGGCUCAUCACAUCCUGGGGCUGAAGUAGGUCCCAAGGGUAUGGCUGUUCGCCAUUUAAAGUGGUACGCGAGCUGGGUUUAGAACGUCGUGAGACAGUUCGGUCCCUAUCUGCCGUGGGCGCUGGAGAACUGAGGGGGGCUGCUCCUAGUACGAGAGGACCGGAGUGGACGCAUCACUGGUGUUCGGGUUGUCAUGCCAAUGGCACUGCCCGGUAGCUAAAUGCGGAAGAGAUAAGUGCUGAAAGCAUCUAAGCACGAAACUUGCCCCGAGAUGAGUUCUCCCUGAGACUUAGAGUCUCCUGAAGGAACGUUGAAGACGACGACGUUGAUAGGCCGGGUGUGUAAGCGCAGCGAUGCGUUGAGCUAACCGGUACUAAUGAACCGUGAGGCUUAACCUUACAACGCCGAAG